UAGAGGAAGUAAAAGUCGUAACAAGGUUUCCGUAGGUGAACCUGCGGAAGGAUCAUUACAGUAUUCCACAGGGCGCUGCUGCUGGCUCUUAAACCGAGCAUGUGCGCGCGCCCCUCGUCCACACAAACACCUGUGCACCUGGGGAACCCCUCCCAUUGAGAGCCGUCUCGUGUAACCCUUCUUCGGAGGGGGGGCGAGGCCGAGGGGAGCCCUCGUCAUUUACAACACCAUCCCAAGUCUUUAACGCAUGUCAUUGGCCCCACGGGGUGACAGUUAAUACAACUUUCAACAACGGAUCUCUUGGCUUUCGCAUCGAUGAAGAACGCCGCGAAAGUGCGAAACGUAAUGUGAAUUGCAGAAUUCAGUGAAUCAUCGAAUCUUUGAACGCAUCUUGCGCUCCUUGGUAUUCCGAGGAGCAUGCCUGUUUGAGUGUCGUGAAACACAUCAAACCUUUCGCGCCUUUGCGUGCUCGGUUUGGACUUGGACGCCUGCGGUGUUGGGGGGUGUGUGCCCUCCUUCUCCGCUCGUCUUGAAAUGCAUCAGCUGGUCUCCGCCGCCUUGGACGGUUUCAAACGGUGUGAUAAGAAACGCUUACGUGUCUGCAAGCGCCGUUGAAGCCCGUCUGCAGGGGGGACCGCUUCCAGUCGUCUUUCGAGACAAUUCACUUCAUCUGACCUCAAAUCAGGUAGGACUACCCGCUGAACUUAAGCAUAUCAAUAA
rnacentral:rRNA from 1 species